UGUCAUUUAGAGGAAGUAAAAGUCGUAACAAGGUUUCCGUAGGUGAACCUGCGGAAGGAUCAUUAUUGAAAUAAACCUGAUGGGUUGUUGCUGGCUCUCUAGGGAGCAUGUGCACGCCUUGUCAUCUUUAUAUCUCCACCUGUGCACCUUUUGUAGACCUUUCGGGGUCUAUGUUGCUUCAUUUUUCCACAAUGUAUGUUAAUAGAAUGUUGUGCCCUGUAUAAUAUAUACAACUUUCAGCAACGGAUCUCUUGGCUCUCGCAUCGAUGAAGAACGCAGCGAAAUGCGAUAAGUAAUGUGAAUUGCAGAAUUCAGUGAAUCAUCGAAUCUUUGAACGCACCUUGCGCUCCUUGGUAUUCCGAGGAGCAUGCCUGUUUGAGUGUCAUUAAUAUACAUAUAUCAAGCCUUCUCUUGUAGAAGGGUUUGGAUGUGGGGGUUUGCUGGCCUCUUAAUCUUAAGAGUUCAGCUCUCCUGAAAUGCAUUAGCAGAACAACCUUAUGUUCAUUGGUGUGAUAACUAUCUACGCUAUUGAAUGUUGAGGGGCAAGUUCAGCUUUCUAACGGUCCUUGGACAAACUCAUCAUUAAUGUGACCUCAAAUCAGGUAGGACUACCCGCUGAACUUAAGCAUAUCAAUAAGCGGAGGAAAAGAAACUAACAAGGAUUCCCCUAGUAACUGCGAGUGAAGCGGGAAAAGCUCAAAUUUAAAAUCUGGCGGUUUUUUUGGCCGUCCGAGUUGUAAUCUAGAGAAGUGUUAUCCGCGCUGGACCGUGUACAAGUCUCC
rnacentral:rRNA from 1 species